rnacentral:piRNA from 1 species
CGAGAUGGCCUUGUCCUCAACCUGCA